rnacentral:rRNA from 1 species
CCUGACUGCUAUCGGAUUGAUACUAAGCCAUGCGAGUCUUUGUAGUAAUACAAGGCAUACGGCUCAGUAACACGUAGUCAACCUACCCUAUGGACGAGAAUAAUCUCGGGAAACUGAGCAUAAUUCUUGAUAGAUCAUAAUGCCUGGAAUGGUUUAUGGUUAAAAUGAUUCGUCGCCAUAGGAUGGGACUGCGGCCUAUCAGCUUGUUGGUGAGGUAAUGGCCCACCAAGGCGAUUACAGGUACGGGCUCUGAGAGGAGAAGCCCGGAGAUGGGUACUGAGACACGGACCCAGGCCCUAUGGGGCGCAGCAGGCGAGAAAACUUUGCAAUGUGCGAAAGCACGACAAGGUUAAUCCGAGUGAUUUCUGCUAAAGAAAUCUUUUGCCAGUCGUAAAACCGCUGGUGAAUAAGGGGUGGGCAAGUUCUGGUGUCAGCCGCCGCGGUAAAACCAGCACCUCAAGUGGUCAGGAUGAUUAUUGGGCCUAAAGCAUCCGUAGCCGGCUUUGUAAGUUUUUGGUUAAAUCCAUGUGCUCAACGCAUGGGCUGCCGAAAAUACUGCAUAGCUAGGGAGUGGGAGAGGUAGACGGUACUCAGUAGGUAGGGGUAAAAUCCUUUGAUCUAUUGAUGACCACCUGUGGCGAAGGCGGUCUACCAGAACACGUUCGACGGUGAGGGAUGAAAGCUGGGGGAGCAAACCGGAUUAGAUACCCGGGUAGUCCCAGCUGUAAACGAUGCAGACUCGAUGAUGCAUUGGCAUAAUAGCCAUUGCAGUGUCGCAGGGAAGCCGUUAAGUCUGCCGCCUGGGAAGUACGUACGCAAGUAUGAAACUUAAAGGAAUUGGCGGGGGAGCACCACAAGGGGUGAAGCCUGCGGUUC